GCCGGGCGUGGUGGCUCACGCCUGUAAUCCCAGCACUUUGGGAGGCCGAGGCGGGUGGAUUACUUGAGAUCAGGACUUUAGGAGUUCGAGACCAGCCUGGCCAACAGGGUGAAACCCCGUCUCUU
ensembl:misc_RNA Metazoa_SRP Metazoan signal recognition particle RNA